ACCCUUUUGUUGUUCAUAGCAUGAUGAUUGGGUGUUCAGGCUCUCCUGUCCCAUGUGCCUCCCUCAAAUCUUGUUACAAUGUCAGCACAUUACCCAUCUGAAG